GUCUCUUGCUGUCCUUGGAGAGAAGCUGCUGGUGCACUUUCCUCUGCUCCUCCUGCUCCUCGAUCUUCGCCUCCUUGUGGAUCUGCUCGAUGGUUUUGGGGCCCGAGUCAGCUCUCCUCGAGACCCAGUUGUGCUGAAAGAGGAACGAAAAUGAGCGUUACAUCUCAUCAGUUUGAAUGUCAGAAGUUUUCACGUUUAGGAAAGUCUCGAAAUCAACUCAUGUCAUUUAAUUCAUAGACGUAGUUGUGAUAUUAGAGGAUGUUAAUAGCCUCCAGGUGUCAGGUAAGAGACUCUGAUGUAGUCCCUUUGGUUUUGUCUGUUCAGUAGUACUUUCACAUCCUUACAACGUCCCACCACUGUACCAACAUCUGCAAUCUGUUGGAGACGGGAUUGGAGGCCAGCUUCAUUAUGGCGCUGUUGCAGACUCAACAAGUUUGUCUGGAAAUGUGUGUGUCUUUAUAAACCUGCUGGUUAAAGUUAAUGAUCAUCACACAAACAUGUAGCUGCAGGUGCAGGGUCGAAGAUCAAUGAAGUAAACCUCUGUGGGAAAAAUCACUGAGCCAGAACAACUCUGAACACGAGAGAACCAGACUGUGUGGAUAAAAACAAAGUGGACACACUCACCAAUCUCAGGUCUAUAAUGUCCUGCAACAUGAACCGUAUCCGGGAAGACGUCUUCCUCUCUUUGACGAUUUUCUCCAUCUGAUUGAAAUACUGAUCCAUCCGAGGCUGAGGAGAGAGGAGACAGAGAGGUUAGUUUGAGACAUGAAGGUUAUGUUUACCAUCUCUCUGUUCAUUAAUCGACAGGCUGCAGGUUUCAACAUUAUUCCACUGAACUGAACGAUUGUUCAGUUUAUUACUCAGAGCAGGAGAUGUCCACACCGCUGAGGAUUCCACUGAAACAUUCUGAAGCAGAAUAAAACCUCAAACAGAA